rnacentral:lncRNA from 1 species
AUUAAAAAGGUUCCUUCGACAUCAAAUGGCUCUUAAAAAUCAAUAUUUUGAUGAUUUAAGUGCAAGAGAAUCAGAAACAUAUGGAUCAAAUUGCCCUAAAAUUAUACACACUUAAAAAAAUGUGUUGGUCUUUAGCAAGAUCCAAAUAUUUGAAAAACAGAGACAUUUUCCUCAUCUCCUGACAGAGCUCUGCUAGGUCAACUUGAGGAGUCCAGAGAGGUGCUACUCAGGAGGCUGAGGCAGGAGAAUCGCUUGAACCUGGGAGGCGGAGUUUGCGGCAGGAGAAUCGCUUGAACCUGGGAGGCGGAGUUUGCAGUGAGCCGAGAUCACGGCAUUGCACUCCAGCCUCAGCAACAAGAGCAAAACUCCGUCUUAAAAAAAAAAAAAAAUGGCCCAGAGCAGGAAAACCAAAGGUAUAAGGUUGGGACCAGAGGAAAAGCUGUCACACACACGAGGUCUCGCUCUGUUGCCCAGACUGGUCCUAAACUCCUGGCCUCAAGUACUCCUCCUGCUUGGGCCUUCCAAAUUGUUGGGAUCAUAGAUGCAGAAACCACGGCCCAGGGAAGACGCAGCUUGAGCAAGGUCACCGGCAGUUUCCUUUGCAGUAAAAUGGGAAUAAAAAGAAAAUCUACGUAACAGUAGAUAUUCUGUGAGGAUUACGUGAAUUCAUAUUUGAAGAGUGAGUAGAAGGGUUCCUGGCACAAGCUCUACAAGUGUGGCUGGAAUGAAUAUGAUGAUGAGGAUGAAGAUGAGGAUGGCGGGGCUGGAGCUCAAGUGCCAUACUGUGUCCUGGAGCAGAAGCCACGUGUUGAGGACAGUCUGGACCCUUAACGAGGGUUGAGCCACGACACCAGCCUGUGACUGUUUACCUCUUGAGUUUGUUUACAGGAGAAGAAAAUAAACUCUCACCUUGUUUAACACACCAUCCUGUUGGCUUUUCAGUUUGCUUGUAGCCCGAUCUAAUCCUAACUGAUACAGGAACAUUGUAG